UGAUUGUGGAGUAGAAGAGAGAGAAAGAAAGCCAAAAAUGUUGAGAGGAGUUGGAGAUCUCUCUACUUCUACAAUCUAUGGUGUCAAUGCAGAUCAAUCUUCUGAGCUUCAAGACUUUACUCAAAUCACUUCAUUUCCUUUGUGUCUUGGCUAGAAGAUUAGAUUAAAACCAGAACCUCAGUGAAAAGCAGAUGCUGUGAGAACUUCGUGCCUGACAUCUACCUGCCCGCCCAUGGACCCCAAAUGUAACUACAGGAAUGGUGGUUCUUGCACCUAUGCAGGCUCCUGCAAGCACAAAUCAUGCCAGUGUUCCUCCUGCAAGAAGAGCUGCUGCUUCUGCUGCCCAGGAGAAUGUACCAAGUGUAUCCAGAGCUUUGUCUGCAAAGACCCCCAAAUCUGGAGUUGCAGCUGCUGCCAAUAAUGUCCUCAUUUCCCUUUGACUGUAAAUAGAAGAAUUUGUGCAGACCUGAAUUUUCGUACAGCAUGGAUGUGUUUUCUACUGUUUUUCUAUAAAAUGUAUAAAUUAAAAGAAACUUGAUAAAUACCUUUAAAAAAAAUAUGAAACAUCUGUCCAAAUCUGUUCUCUGUCCUCUAAAUUCCCUAGGCUUUCUGAUACCAUUGCAUAGCUUAUCUCACAUCUGAUUUUGUAUUGUAUAUGUUUUAUAUAUUCUUAGAUAUGUGUGUGUUCCCUAACAGAAUGUAAUUGUCUUGAAGACAGGAACUUUUAUUUUAGAUUUUUUGUCUCCAGGACCUAACAUCAUGCUUGCCACAUGGUGGGUGCUUAAUAAAUGCUUGUUGGGUGAUUUUUAUAGGAGAAAUCAUUCUCUUGUUUCCUGGUUGUUUCUGUGUAGUUGUGCCAUUUUAAUUGAUGUUGUAUUUUGGAAUGUCCCUAAAACAUAUUUCCUGGCUGUCUUGAUUAUAGUACAAUCCUUUUUGUUUACCAUGUUGAAACUACAAUUAUUUCUGAGAUUUAAAGAAUCAUAAAACUACAGAUUAGAACUAUGAGAGACCUCAGAGGUAAAUUACUCCAUUUUAUUGAUGAAGAAACUGAGAUCCAGAGAUAUUAAGUGACUUGCCCAGGUAGAGCAAGAUUUGAACCCAAGUCCUCUGCUGCCAAAUGUAGCUUCCCUUCUGUUUUGUAACUUAUUUGGAUGUGCUGUUCAUUGUGGAAUGGUGUGGCUCACAAAGAGGUGGUAUGACUUAAUGGAUAACAUGCUAGAUUUGGAGUCAG